rnacentral:lncRNA from 1 species
UUCUGUAUCCUCUCAUAGAUUAUAUUAUUGUUGACAUUUUCACUGCCCCUCUAUAUCAGAUGUGUCCUUAUGGGAUUAUGCUUUGCAUUGAUAUUAGUUUGGACAUGACUUGCUUUGGCCAAUGACAUGUGAAUGGAAAUGUUGCCACUUCAAAGCAGAAGUUAUAAAUGCCACUGUGAGAUUCUGCCAUCUCUCGUUUGCCUCUGUCACAAGACCUGCCUUUCCCAGAGAGAAGUUGCUGCUUUUUUUUGAGACAGGGUUUCACUCUGUUGCCCAGGCUGGAAUGUAACGGCACGAUCUCUGCUCAUUGCAAUCUCUGCCUCCUGGUCCCAAGCGAUCCUCCCACCUUAGCCUCCUGAGUAGCUGGGACUAUCGGCAUGUGCCACCACUCCUGGCUAAUUUUUGUAUUUUUUUUUUGUAGAGAUGGGGGUUUUGCCAUGUUGGCCAGGCUGGUCUCCAAUUCCUGGGCUCAAGCGAUACACCUGCCUCACCUUCCCAAAGUGCUGGGAUUACAGGCACGAGGCACUAUACCCAGCCAGAAGCUGCUUCUUCAGUGUUGGUCUUGAAAUGAAGAUUUGGAGCAGAGCCACAGCUGGCAUGCCAAAGAUAUGAAUGUGUACAAGAAGUACCUUUGGAGUGAUACAAUACAGGAAUACGGAGUGCAUAGUAUCUUCAUGUCGUCUGGAGGCUCAGAGACUACUAUGUAUACAUUUUCUUGGCCUCCAUCACCUUUCUAGGGUGUGUAUAGCUCCUGAGGAAGAUUGAAGUGCCCGGCUUCACUUGGUAGGUCUCUCAUCAGUUGUCUGUCUGGGUGCCAACUCAUAGCUCUCCCAGUUCACGUGGAGAUCCACAGAUAGGGGAUUUCACAGCAAACAAGGCAGGUAGUCAGUUCCUAGCACAAAGCAUUCCUCAACUAGCUUAACUUGGUAGUUGCCAAGGGAACAGUGCUGUGAGAAGGCAGACCCAAGGUCACCUUCCCAGGUAGACCUAAACAUGUUCAGAGAUGUUAACCCUUACUGAUAGGCAGUCGGCUGGAAGCUUCAAGAAAAGAUUUCCAGGCCCUCAAAAAGAGACACAGACAAUAAAGUCUCACUCCUCUGGACAUUUUUGUGUCUGAAGUUGAUGCUUGGAACUACAUUUUCCUGGCCCAUUCAGUUUCCCACACUCCACUCUAAGACAUCUAUCUUUAUAAUAUCUCCACUUUCAUCAAAUUUCUUCCCCAGUUCUUACUUUCAAUGGGUAUCUUGCUUCCUGUUUAAAUUAGAAAAUGGAAGCAAUGAGAUAAAAUUUUGACACAUUCCCACCACCACAGACCCAUCAAUUUCCUUUUUAAUCCAUAUUCUCCACCUUCUCUCCUGUUACUACAGAUAUAUUGUUUAUAAACCAAUCCAAGGUUUCCCUUGCCACUGUGCUUUAGACCUUAUCCCCAAGGACGACUCUAGCACUGUAAACACCUCCUCUUUUCUAGCCAAACAUUUCCAUCAGUGUAUUUCCUUUAGUAUUUCCUAUUUUAAAAUAUGUCUCCCUGUUGACCCCAC